UACGUAGGGUGCGAGCGUUGUCCGGAAUUAUUGGGCGUAAAGAGCUCGUAGGCGGUCUGUCGCGUCGGUCGUGAAAACUUCGGGCUUAACCCUGAGCUUGCGGUCGAUACGGGCAUGACUGGAGUUCGGCAGGGGAGACUGGAAUUCCUGGUGUAGCGGUGAAAUGCGCAGAUAUCAGGAGGAACACCGGUGGCGAAGGCGGGUCUCUGGGCCGAUACUGACGCUGAGGAGCGAAAGCGUGGGGAGCGAACAGG
rnacentral:rRNA from 1 species